AGAAGAAGAGAGCCAGUAUUUACUUCUUUGCAAAAACUGUUCACACACAUUUAUCGAACUCGCUAAAGCACCUGACUACGAGAUCCAAGCUUCUGACUGAAACACAGCAACUCAAACAACAAAACUCAGGAGCUCCGCAAUCUCCUGCCCAAAUAUCAAAACUCAAAGUUCUGCUGAUGUCAAAACUGCAAUCUUCCCACCACCGCCCACUUCCUACCAGAAGCUUAGCCUGGAAUCCCGAGCACACACGAGGUAACCACAGCAGGUGCUGGAGCAAGCAGCGGGCAAGGUCCUGUAUGUAUCUUCCUCAGAUGGCUGAGUGUGUGUGCAUCACUUACCUGGGGAAGAGAUGGCACAGGAUACUCUGUGGAAAGAAGGCAAGUCAGCAGAGGCAGUGCAGUGGUCUGAGCAAUGUUCUGCUGGGAAACCUUGAGUCCUGGUAUUCAUGUAGAUGUUACUUUGACACAUACCACCUAAACAUUGGUGCAGACCAAGUACACAAUGGCAUUGCUAAUGGCAACGGUAUUCCCUAAUGGCAGUGGCCGCUUUCAGAUGGAUAACGUGCACUGCUACACUGCAAAAAUUGCAGGAAUGGUAUGAAAAACAUAACAAAGAGUAUAAGAUGUUGAUUUGGCCUCCAAAUUUCCCAGAUCUCAAUCCAAUCUAGCACCUGAAGAUGUGCUGGACAAACAAGUCCGAACCAUGGAGGCUCCACCACACAACUUACAGGAUUUAAAUUAUCUGCUGCUAAUGUCUUGGUGCCAGAUACCACAGCUCACCUUCAGAGGUCUUGUGGAGUUCAUGCCUCGAAGGGUCAGAGCUAUUUUGGCAGCACAGGGGGGACUUACACAAUAUUAGGCAGAUGGUUUUAAUGUUAUGAGUGAUCAUGAAUGUCAGUUAUAUGUAUCGAGCAGAUAUGAUGUUUAAAUUAAUAAUCAGUAUGAUAAGUGCCAGAUCUUGAGCUUUACAGAGAUUGCAUUGUUGUUGAAAAUUUUAUUGUUGUAAUCAUGUUAAAUACAUGUCAUGUACUAAAA
ensembl:lncRNA